UACGGGGGGGGCAAGCGUUGUUCGGAAUUACUGGGCGUAAAGGGCUCGUAGGCGGCCAACUAAGUCAGACGUGAAAUCCCUCGGCUUAACUGGGGAACUGCGUCUGAUACUGGAUGGCUUGAGUUUGGGAGAGGGAUGCGGAAUUCCAGGUGUAGCGGUGAAAUGCGUAGAUAUCUGGAGGAACACCGGUGGCGAAGGCGGCAUCCUGGACCAAUACUGACGCUGAGGAGCGAAAGCCAGGGGAGCAAACGGG
rnacentral:rRNA from 1 species